CAACAAACCCCACUCUCUAGCAAAGUGCAGAGGGUUCAGGAGUAAACACCUAGAUGAAAGGAAAGCUUACUUGAGAGAAAUGGCUAUCUGUUUUCGGUGCUGUGCAUCCACAAAACAUCUUGCUAAAGACUGUAAAGCAGUGGUGAAGUGCAGGGAAUGUAACAGUGAAAGACAUAUUUCUGCAUUACACCCAGGCCCACCUCCUUGGACAACGGAAGCUCAAGUGGAGGAGCAAGAGCACGGCGGGGAGCAGGAUGGUGGAUUAAUUCCGCAAGUCUCCUCUAAGUGUACAGAAAUCUGUGGCAGCAUACCUUCCCCCAGAUCGUGCUCAAAAAUAUGUCUGGUUCAUGUUUACCCAGCUGACCAGCCCACUAAAACCCAGAAAGUGUAUGCGGUGUUAGAUGAGCAAAGUAACCGUUCACUGGUGAAGCCGGACUUCUUCACUCUUUUUGGCAUCAGUGGAGUUCCAUCCCCUUACACCCUCAAAACAUGUUCAGGCAUCACGGAGGUGGAAGGAAGGAAAGCUAGUGGUUUCGUUGUUGCAUCACUUGAUGGAAAAACUCAGGUGGCUCUUCCUCCUCUUCUUGAGUGCAACAUGAUCCCAGAUGAUCGAUCUGAAAUUCCUACCCCAGAGAUUGCAUGUUACUACCCGCACCUUGCAUCAGUUGCAGACAAAAUCCCACCAGCUGACUCCAGUGCACCUAUCCUUCUGCUCUUAGGGCGGGACAUCCUCAGUGUUCAUAAAGUGCGUGAACAACGAAAUGGUUCAAACAACAUGCCAUAUGCACAGCGAUUGGACUUAGGCUGGGUGAUUGUAGGUGAGGUGUGUCUGGGGGGUGCUCACCAAGAAAAGAAAGUGAAUGUAUUUAGAACAAAUGUCCUUCAAAAUGGACGUGCCUCUUUUCUUAAGCCGUGCCCUAGCGUGAUCAAUGUAAAAGAGAAAUACAGCGCUCCGUUUCUACAACAUCAUGAAGGUCUACACAGUGUUCCUCAGGAAGGAGCUCUAGCUAUUGUCACAGACAAUCUGGGAAGCACAGUUUUCCAAAGUAAUCUACAUGAUGACAAAGUCACUCUGUCAGUUGAGGAUGGCAUUUUCCUUGAAAUAAUGGACAGAGACGUCUAUAUGGAUGAGGAAAAUCACUGGGUGGCACCUCUUCCUUUUCGCCUGCCUCAUCGUCCUCUCCCAAAUAACAGAAACCAAGCUAUGAAGCGUCAUACGGCUCUGCAACGCCUUCUACAAAAAAAACCAGAAAUGCGAAAACAGUUUGUGGACUUCAUGCAGAAAAUCUUUGAGAAAGGUCAGGCAGAAGCAGCACCACCUCUGAAGCAGGGCGAGGAAGCUUGGUACCUGCCUAUUUUUGGAGUGUAUCACCCGCAGAAACUGGACAAGAUUCGGGUCGUCUUUGACUCAAGUGCCCAGUAUAACGGCAUGUCCCUCAAUGACACUCUCCUCAGUGGUCCAGACUUAAAUAACAC
rnacentral:lncRNA from 1 species